rnacentral:rRNA from 1 species
UACGAAGGGGGGCUAGCGUUGUUCGGAAUUACUGGGCGUAAAGCGCGCGCAGGCGGUCUUCCAAGUCAGUGGUGAAAGCCCCGGAGCUCAACUCCGGAACUGCCGUUGAAACUGUGAGACUUGAGGAUGAGAGAGGUGAGUGGAAUUCCCAGUGUAGAGGUGAAAUUCGUAGAUAUUGGGAAGAACACCGGUGGCGAAGGCGGCUCACUGGCUCAUUUCUGACGCUCAGGCGCGACAGCGUGGGGAUCAAACAGG